AGACACAGGCAGAGGGAGAAGCAGGCUCCAUGCAGGGAGCCCGACACAGGACUCGAUCCGGGUCUCCAGGAUCACACCCCGGGCCGAAGGCAGGCGCCAAGCCGCUGGGCCACCGGGGCUGCCCCCGACUCCUAUUUGUAAAAGCAUUGACACUGCUAAGUUCAGACACCCCAGCAAAAAAUCAGAGGCUGGCUUUCUCUUUUCACUGGGCAAAUGGACGCUGAGAAGGAAAGUAGCCUACCUGAGGAUAUGAUCAGAAGUUGAGGCUUUGGUGCCACUCCCUACUUGGACUCUGGAGGCCUCACAGUGUUUGCUGAUCCUGUGUGCUAUCCACGGGUCCUGACCAGGCUCACAACGUGUAAGUGGGUCAGUCUUAGCUCCUUCUCUGACCCUCCAUUUCUCGGGAGCUUGUGGGCUUGGUGGUCAGCAGCUGUAAACAUGCACCCUGCAAGGGCGAUAGCUCUAGUGAUUAUGAACAGGAUCAUUCCGAGCAUCUGGAGUUCACUUCCAAGCCAUGGUCCCCAAGACCCAAACCAAUCCAAAUCGAUCAUGUCAAAGACCCUAAACCUGAAGGAGCCACUUUUGUGAGUGUAGUGGCUUAUUCAGUGACUUUAUGUAGCUGAGUUUCAGGGCUUCCCCAGAAAUGUCAGUCCAAGUGCAUCAGGUGGUGUUGGCCACGGCACAGGCACCUCCUUGUUCAGCCAAGAGAUCAUCCAGAGCUAUGCUAUCAUUGGGAACAACACUGGCCUUGCAAAGAUGGCAACCACUGGUGAGAUGUUUUUGUGACUUUCCAUCCGAUUUAGAUAAUCAUAAGAACGUGGGGGUGUAACUGUCCUAUGAUGUGCAUAUUUAUUUGUGUUUAAUUGGGCAGGUGCAGUUAUAAUUGGAGAAAGAUAAAACAAGGCACUGGAUGCUGUGGCCAUGAGAGAUUUCUUAAGUGACUUCUAAGGUGGAGGGAGGAAUAGUUAGAAAGGAGAUUGGUCACAGGGAGGACCAGAGGUCUCUAGCAUCACGGACAGAUAGGAGUUUUUUUAUGACAGAUCCAGCAGUCUGAAAGGUUACCCCAGGAGAUACAAAAGAUGGUGUUAUCUUUCAAGGCCAAUGCCAGUGUAAAGGAGAAGAAAGAGAAAAGAGUGUUUCAUGUUUACAGUAUGAGGGCUUGAUCUGGCAUCUCGGAAAGAAGCAGUUUACAUCUAUGAUGUGGCUACUUCUCUUCCUCAUCAGUUUGCUUCAGAGGUCUCCAGGGUCUGCAAAGGACCGGAUGUCAGGUGGAGCCUUCUUUAGCUGAGAUGUGUACCAAACAUUCAAGUCACUAAUGUGUGGCUGCCAUCUGAGUAGUGAGGACAACUGGUGGUCCUUCCAUGGGGAUUUGAGAGCAGGCUUUGUUCCCAGUGAUUGCAAAUCAGAAGGGUGGGAGAGGAUAGGAAACAUUAGUUUGGAGAGUCAUAGCCAGAUAUUUCAGCUAGAAGAAUUCGAGAUCCAGUCCAGUUUACAGGUAUAGAACAAAUCCUCAAAGACAGCAAGACUAGAAUUUAAUGUCUACACAGGUGCAAACAUAAUUUUUCUCUCCAUAAUCACUUUUUUCCUCCCAGAUAAUCACAGUAAAAUGAUUUGUUUUUAUUAAACCAGGUCUGAUUAUUUACAUAGCGCAGCAAGAAGAGCAAUUGACCAUGUAAACUCUUUUAAAGGCUGCUUUGCUUGGACUUUUUCAUUAGGAAUUUCAGAUUGAGGGGGCCCUGGGUGGUUCAGUGGUUGAGCGUCUGCCUUUGGCUCAGGUCAUGAUCCGGGGUCCUGAGAUUAAGUCCCACAUCAGGCUCCUUGCAGGGAGCCUCCUCUGCUUCUCUCUGCGUGUCUCUCAUGAAUAAAUAAAUAAAAUCUUAAAACAAUCCAGCCAAAAACAAAACAAAACAAAACUACCAAACAACAACAACACCCCCCCCCAAAAAAAAAGGUAUUUCAGAUUGAACUUUUAAAAGCUUCUGAGGCCAGGAAGCCAAGCCGA